rnacentral:rRNA from 1 species
UACGUAGGGGGCAAGCGUUAUCCGGAUUUACUGGGUGUAAAGGGAGCGUAGACGGCUUUGCAAGCCAGAUGUGAAAGCCCGGGGCUCAACCCCGGGACUGCAUUUGGAACUGUGUGGCUGGAGUGUCGGAGAGGCAGGCGGAAUUCCUAGUGUAGCGGUGAAAUGCGUAGAUAUUAGGAGGAACACCAGUGGCGAAGGCGGCCUGCUGGACGAUGACUGACGUUGAGGCUCGAAAGCGUGGGGAGCAAACAGG